GGGUAUAGCUCAGUGGUAGAGCACAUGCUUUUAGCAUGCACAAGGUCCUGGGUUCAAUCCCCAGUACUGCCA
rfam:Camelus ferus unplaced genomic scaffold scaffold94, whole genome shotgun sequence.